UACAGUCUUAUAUCAGGCUGCUGUGUUUGCUCUGUGCUACAUAUUCAUAUCCUACCCCCUCAGUUUCCUCUUUAAACUUUCUGAAAUUUCAGACGCUGCUUCUAAGAUCCAAAAGAUCCUACUAAAUUAGUCCUGGGAAAUGGAAAUUCUGGAUUUUAUCUGGAACUCUGCCAUGGUUCCCCAAGCAGCUGUGGCCAAUCUUCUCUGUGUGUCAUCCCCCACAUCUGUUACAUUACGCUGUCGAAUAGAAAGUAGGGCAGUAUGGUAAAUGAGAGGAUUCCUUCUGGCCAGCCACGGUACUAAACUGCAGAGCCCAAACCAGAGUGAGAAGAGCUGGUGACUUCUAUAGAGCAACUAUCUUAUUAACCUAUACCAGGCAUUGUGUUAAGCCCAACACACACAUUUUUAAUUGGUUGUUCUCAAUAUCCCAGUGAGGCAAGAACUAUUAUUAUUCACCUGUGGCAGAAAGGGAAACUGAGGCUGGGAGGUUAAGUAACACAGCAGAAACUGAGCAAGCAACUUGAUGGAGUCAAACCCAGCCCGAGCUCGUGGACUGUGCUGAUGAGUCUGUGGAUAUAGCUGUUGCUUUCCGAAGGGAAAGCGCACUUCCCCAAAGACUCUGUCUGGUCUCUGGGGCCACUUCCUGUGAAAGAGCAUUUGAUCAGCUGCUUUUCAAAGAUAACACACUUGCACAUUUUAGAAGCCAGUGGAAGUUCAUACAUGAGGCAAAUCUGUCGAGCGUUCAAAUCAAGUAGGAAGGACUAAGAACUGUUGUGUGUCACAUGGAAAGAAAAAUGGCUUUUCAGACAGAACUCUGGAAAAUUAAGAUGACUAUAGGAUCCAGUUUGAAAAAGAAUCUCAGAUCCUGACAUAUCUGCUUUCCCUAGUCUUCAUUCUCCUUCCUGAAUACUUUAAUCACAAGAGCAUAGAGCUCUUUAAUAUAUUCCCCUGUAUUUUUCCUCCCCUGCACAGAGAAAUGGUAUUUUGAGUCUUGGUAACCACUCCACAAACACGGAUCUAUUUUUGUGACUCCAGACAAAGCCUUCCAUAUUCCCUCCCUAUCCCCUCCUCUGCUGUCAGUCCCUCACUCCCCCCCCCACACAACAGAG
rnacentral:lncRNA from 1 species